rnacentral:rRNA from 1 species
GUGGGGAAUAUUCCGCAAUGGACGAAAGUCUGACGGAGCAACGCCGCGUGAGUGAUGAAGGUUUUCGGACUGUAAAGCUCUGUUGUUUAGGACGAAAGUGCCUGUUGCGAAUAGUUACAGGUAUUGACGGUACUGAACGAGGAAGCCACGGCUAACUACGUGCCAGCAGCCGCGGUAAUACGUAGGUGGCAAGCGUUGUCCGGAAUUAUUGGGCGUAAAGAGCAUGUAGGCGGGAAUCUAAGUCUGUUGUGAAAAUGCGGGGCUCAACCCCGUAUUGCGAUGGAAACUGGGUUUCUUGAGUGCAGGAGAGGAAAGGGGAAUUCCCAGUGUAGCGGUGAAAUGCGUAGAUAUUGGGAGGACACCAGUGGCGAAGGCGCCUUUCUGGACUGUGUCUGACGCUGAGAUGCGAAAGCCAGGGUAGCGAACGGGAUUAGAAACCCGUGUAGUCC